rnacentral:rRNA from 1 species
UGUAAGCGUAUACCAAAGUUGUUGCAGUUAAAACGCUCGUAGUCGGAAUUUGGCAGUUCCGGAAGUGUGCACGUCGUGUGCGCACUUCGCGGGGAUUGCUUUUGUGGUCUUGCGUAGGAUGAGGCACUUUUAUUAGUGAACGUCCUCACGCAACCACUUUUUACUGUGAGAAAAUCAGAGUGCUCAAAGCAGGCAUUUGCCGUGAAUGUAUUAGCAUGGAAUAAUAGAAUAGGACUUGGUUCUAUUUUGUUGGUUUGUUGGGACUGAGUAAUGAUUAAGAGGGACAGUUGGGGGCAUUUGUAUUUCGGUGCUAGAGGUGAAAUUCUUAGAUUACCGAAAGACAAACUGCUGCGAAAGCGUCUGCCAAGGAUGUUUUCAUUGA